UACGUAGGUGGCAAGCGUUGUCCGGAAUUAUUGGGCGUAAAGAGCGUGUAGGCGGCCAGGUAGGUCCGUUGUGAAAACUCGAGGCUCAACCUCGAGACGUCGGCGGAAACCCUCUGGCUAGAGUCCGGAAGAGGAGAGUGGAAUUCCUGGUGUAGCGGUGAAAUGCGCAGAUAUCAGGAAGAACACCCGUGGCGAAGGCGGCUCUCUGGGACGGUACUGACGCUGAGACGCGAAAGCGUGGGGAGCAAACAGG
rnacentral:rRNA from 1 species